rnacentral:rRNA from 1 species
GUAGUCCACGCUGUAAACGAUGAAUGCUAGGUGUCGGGUCGAGAGAUUCGGUGCCGGAGUAAACACAAUAAGCAUUCCGCCUGGGGAGUACGUACGCAAGUAUGAAACUCAAAGGAAUUGACGGGGGCCCGCACAAGCGGUGGAGUAUGUGGUUUAAUUCGACGCAACGCGAAGAACCUUACCAAGACUUGACAUGCCGUUGACCGGGAUAGAGAUAUCCCUUCCCUUCGGGGCAAUGGACACAGGUGGUGCAUGGUUGUCGUCAGCUCGUGUCGUGAGAUGUUGGGUUAAGUCCCGCAACGAGCGCAACCCCUAUUUUCAGUAGCCAUCAGGUAAAGCUGGGCACUCUGGAGAGACUGCCGUGGAUAACACGGA